CCUACGGGUGGCAGCAGUGAGGAAUAUUUGUCAAUGGGCGCGAGCCUGAUCCAGCCAUGUAGCGUGAAGGAUGACUGCCCUACGGGUUGUAAACUUCUUUUAUAAAGGAAUAAAGUGAGGCAUGUGUGCCUUUUUUUAUGUAAUUUAUGAAUUUGGAUCGGCUAACUCCGUGUCAGCAGCCGCGGUAAUACGGAGGAUCCGAGUGUUAUCCGGAUUUGUUGGGUUUAAAGGGAGCGGAGAUGGGUUGUUAAGUCAGUUGUGAAAGUUUACGGGUCAACCGUAAAGUUGUAAUUGAUACUGGCAGCCUUGAGUACAGUAGGGGUAGGCGGAAUUCGAGGUGUAGCGGUAAAAUGCUUAGAUAUCACGAAGAACACCGAUUGCGAAGGCAGCUUACUAAACUGCCACUGACAUUGAUGCUCGAAAGUGUGGGGAUCAAACAGGAUUAGAUACCCGGGUAGUC
rnacentral:rRNA from 1 species